rnacentral:tRNA from 3 species
GCCGGUGUGAUGGAAUUGGCAGACGUGCUGGACUCAAAAUCCUGUGGUAGUGAUACCGUACCGGUUCGACCCCGGUCACCGGCACCA